rnacentral:rRNA from 1 species
GAUGAACGCUGGCGGCGUGCCUAAUACAUGCAAGUCGAGCGAACAGACGAGGAGCUUGCUCCUCUGACGUUAGCGGCGGACGGGUGAGUAACACGUGGAUAACCUACCUAUAAGACUGGGAUAACUUCGGGAAACCGGAGCUAAUACCGGAUAAUAUAUUGAACCGCAUGGUUCAAUAGUGAAAGACGGUUUUGCUGUCACUUAUAGAUGGAUCCGCGCCGGAUUAGCUAGUUGGUAAGGUAACGGCUUACCAAGGCAACGAUGCGUAGCCGACCUGAGAGAGUGAUCGGCCACACUGAAACUGGGACACGGUCCAGACUCCUACGGGAGGCAGCAGUAGGGAAUGUUCCGCAAUGGGCGGAAGCCUGGCAGAGCAAGGCCGAGUGAGAGAUGAAGGUCUACGGUUCGGAAAACUCUAUUAUUAGGGAAAAACAAAUGUCUAAGUAGCUAUGCACGUCGUGACGGUACCUGAUCAGAAAGCCACGGCUAACUACGUG